rnacentral:misc_RNA from 1 species
UCUAAGGAAAAUUAUCAUCUUCAGUUUUGAGAGACUUAAACAAGUUUUUCAUUUUUUUUGUUUUUACCAACAUUUUUCUUAAUUUCUCUUUUUAAGAUCUAAGAUCAAGGGCCUAUAGCUCAGCUGGUUAGAGCACACGCCUGAUAAGCGUGAGGUCGGUGGUUCGAGUCCAUUUAGGCCCACCACCAAUUCCAAAUCUUAAAAAAUUAAUUGAAAAAGAAGCUCUUUGAAAAGUAGAUAAACUAAGGUUAAAAAGUA